rnacentral:rRNA from 1 species
CCUGGUAGCGGGGGAUAACUAUUGGAAACGAUAGCUAAUACCGCAUAACAGUCGACAUUGCAUGAUGCUGAUUUGAAAGGGGCAAAUGCUCCACUACCAGAUGGACCUGCGUUGUAUUAGCUGGUUGGUGAGGUAACGGCUCACCAAGGCGACGAUACAUAGCCGACCUGAGAGGGUGAUCGGCCGCACUGGGACUGAGACACGGCCCAG